rnacentral:rRNA from 1 species
GACGAACGCUGGCGGCGUGCUUAACACAUGCAAGUCGAACGGAAAGGCCCUGCUUUUGUGGGGUGCUCGAGUGGCGAACGGGUGAGUAACACGUGAGUAACCUGCCCUUGACUUUGGGAUAACUUCAGGAAACUGGGGCUAAUACCGGAUAGGAGCUCCUGCUGCAUGGUGGUGGUUGGAAAGUUUCGGCGGUUGGGGAUGGACUCGCGGCUUAUCAGCUUGUUGGUGGGGUAGUGGCUUACCAAGGCUUUGACGGGUAGCCGGCCUGAGAGGGUGGCCGGCGACAUUACGACUGAGAUACGGACCAGACUCCUACGGGAGGCAGCAGUGGGGAAUAUUGCACAAUGGGCGGAAGCCUGAUGCAGCAACGCCGCGUGCGGGAUGACGGCCUUCGGGUUGUAAACCGCUUUCGCCUGUGACGAAGCGUGAGUGACGGUAAUGGGUAAAGAAGCACCGGCUAACUACGUG